GAUAUAUUAUAGUAAAAAUGAGAAUGGGUAAACUACAUGAGCUUUGGGCUUGAGCCCAGAGAUUGCAAUGAAAGUGUCGACUUUAGCCACGGUGGUGACCUGAAAAAACCACUCCCGGAAACAGAGUACACAAGGUGUCAUGAUAAAGCUUUGGAUUCUUCCUGCAGAGUGCAAAGAAUUUUAUGCUAUGGUUAUUUUAAAGGACAUCAGCAUAAACUGGUAAUUAUAAUUCUAGAUGGAGUAUAAAUUUUAUCGAGUUGCAUGUCUGUGGUUCAUCCCAAAAAACCAUGGAUGUAUUUAAUCAUGGUAUACAGAUCACUUGUGUUUUGAAGUUGAGAUCUUUCUUGGAAUAAUGUGGAGCAAUAUAUCUGUACCAAGAUGAACUUUUGUAUGAAUAUCAAAUUCCUAAUAUGUGUAUCUUUCACUUAUGAUUGUACUUGUAUAGAUUUUUCAGGCAUAGGAAACUGUUGCUAACGACAUGAAUAAUGAUUUUAGGGCUACUGUUCUUAUAUAUCCCGAAUUUUAUCCAAUUUUAUUGAUUCAGUUCA